AUGGUGAUGGUUUUCUGCCAAAGUUUUACACGGGAAGCUGGUCAUUUUCUUCCUUCGCAGUGGAGGAUACAAAGAGUCUGGGGCUGGCGUCACCUUCUGUUGCUAAGGCAAUACAAGUGACUAUUUUGCCUUAAAACUCUUGUUUCGGGAACAUCAAGCAUGGAUUAUCCCAAAAUGGAUUAUUUUCUGGAUGUGGAGUCUGCACCCAGACUCUUGGAUGUUGAGUCGGCUCAGAGAUUCUUCUACAGCCAAGGAGCUCAAGACCUUUACUACCUCGGCAAGUCCUAAUACUUUGGGACUGAUUAAUCCUCAAACUGGCUACCGUUCAUACUCCUGGGAGGUGCUGUGGAUGCCCACCUAAGCCCUACACGGGAGCCAGAGACCAGAGGACCACUCACUGAAGGCCUGGCCAUGUUUCCAGAGGUCUUGUUUGGCGGGUGCCGGGUUAUCUUCCUGCUCCACGAUUGCCCCCUAAAACUUUAA